AGUGAAGCGGCAACAGCUCAAAUUUGAAAUCUGGCCCUUGUGGUCCGAGUUGUAAUUUGUAGAGGAUGCUUUUGGUGCGGUGCCUUCCGAGUUCCCUGGAACGGGACGCCAUAGAGGGUGAGAGCCCCGUCUGGUUGGACACCAAGCCUCUGUAAAGCUCCUUCGACGAGUCGAGUAGUUUGGGAAUGCUGCUCUAAAUGGGAGGUAUAUGUCUUCUAAAGCUAAAUACCGGCCAGAGACCGAUAGCGCACAAGUAGAGUGAUCGAAAGAUGAAAAGCACUUUGAAAAGAGGGUUAAAUAGUACGUGAAAUUGUUGAAAGGGAAGCGUUUGUGACCAGACUUGGGCUUGGUUAAUCAUCCAGCGUUCUCGCUGGUGCACUUUGCCAGCCCAGGCCAGCAUCAGUUCGCUGCGGGGGAUAAAAGAUCCGGGAAUGUGGCUCUUCGGAGUGUUAUAGCCCGUUUCUUAAUACCCUGUGGUGGACUGAGGUUCGCGCAUCUGCAAGGAUGCUGGCGUAAUGGUCAUCAACGACCCGUCUUGAAACACGGACCAAGGAGUCGUCUUCGUAUGCGAGUGUUCGGGUGUCAAACCCCUACGCGUAAUGAAAGUGAACGGAGGUGGGAGCCUCGGCGCACCAUCGACCGAUCCUGAUGUUUUCGGAUGGAUUUGAGUAAGAGCAUACGGGGCCGGACCCGAAAGAAGGUGAACUAUGCCUGUAUAGGGUGAAGCCAGAGGAAACUCUGGUGGAGGCUCGCAGCGGUUCUGACGUGCAAAUCGAUCGUCAAAUAUGGGCAUGGGGGCGAAAGACUA
rnacentral:rRNA from 1 species